rnacentral:tRNA from 1 species
CCUGUCUCUGGUAGUUCAGUGGUAGAAUACCGGCUUGUCACGCCGGUGGCCGAGGUUGUAAGUUGUUGAAUAUCAAACUCACAGGA